UACAGAGGGGGCAAGCGUUGUUCGGAAUUACUGGGCGUAAAGGGCGCGUAGGCGGCCUUCUAAGUAGAACGUGAAAUCCCCGGGCUCAACCCGGGAACUGCGUCCGAUACUGGAAGGCUUGAAUCCGGGAGAGGGAUGCGGAAUUCCAGGUGUAGCGGUGAAAUGCGUAGAUAUCUGGAGGAACACCGGUGGCGAAGGCGGCAUCCUGGACCGGCAUUGACGCUGAGGCGCGAAAGCCAGGGGAGCAAACGGG
rnacentral:rRNA from 1 species